rnacentral:rRNA from 1 species
UUAAGCGACUAAGCGUACACGGUGGAUGCCCUGGCAGUCAGAGGCGAUGAAGGACGUGCUAAUCUGCGAUAAGCGUCGGUAAGGUGAUAUGAACCGUUAUAACCGGCGAUUUCCGAAUGGGGAAACCCAGUGUGAUUCGUCACACUAUCAUUAACUGAAUCCAUAGGUUAAUGAGGCGAACCGGGGGAACUGAAACAUCUAAGUACCCCGAGGAAAAGAAAUCAACCGAGAUUCCCCCAGUAGCGGCGAGCGAACGGGGAGGAGCCCAGAGCCUGAAUCAGUGUGUGUGUUAGUGGAAGCGUCUGGAAAGGCGCGCGAUACAGGGUGACAGCCCCGUACACAAAAAUGCACAUACUGUGAGCUCGAUGAGUAGGGCGGGACACGUGGUAUCCUGUCUGAAUAUGGGGGGACCAUCCUCCAAGGCUAAAUACUCCUGACUGACCGAUAGUGAACCAGUACCGUGAGGGAAAGGCGAAAAGAACCCCGGCGAGGGGAGUGAAAAAGAACCUGAAACCGUGUACGUACAAGCAGUGGGAGCCUCUUAAUGGGGUGACUGCGUACCUUUUGUAUAAUGGGUCAGCGACUUAUAUUCUGUAGCAAGGUUAACCGAAUAGGGGAGCCGAAGGGAAACCGAGUCUUAACUGGGCGUUAAGUUGCAGGGUAUAGACCCGAAACCCGGUGAUCUAGCCAUGGGCAGGUUGAAGGUUGGGUAACACUAACUGGAGGACCGAACCGACUAAUGUUGAAAAAUUAGCGGAUGACUUGUGGCUGGGGGUGAAAGGCCAAUCAAACCGGGAGAUAGCUGGUUCUCCCCGAAAGCUAUUUAGGUAGCGCCUCGUGAAUUCAUCUCCGGGGGUAGAGCACUGUUUCGGCAAGGGGGUCAUCCCGACUUACCAACCCGAUGCAAACUGCGAAUACCGGAGAAUGUUAUCACGGGAGACACACGGCGGGUGCUAACGUCCGUCGUGAAGAGGGAAACAACCCAGACCGCCAGCUAAGGUCCCAAAGUCAUGGUUAAGUGGGAAACGAUGUGGGAAGGCCCAGACAGCCAGGAUGUUGGCUUAGAAGCAGCCAUCAUUUAAAGAAAGCGUAAUAGCUCACUGGUCGAGUCGGCCUGCGCGGAAGAUGUAACGGGGCUAAACCAUGCACCGAAGCUGCGGCAGCGACGCUGAUGCGUUGUUGGGUAGGGGAGCGUUCUGUAAGCCUGUGAAGGUGGCCUGUGAGGGUUGCUGGAGGUAUCAGAAGUGCGAAUGCUGACAUAAGUAACGAUAAAGCGGGUGAAAAGCCCGCUCGCCGGAAGACCAAGGGUUCCUGUCCAACGUUAAUCGGGGCAGGGUGAGUCGACCCCUAAGGCGAGGCCGAAAGGCGUAGUCGAUGGGAAACAGGUUAAUAUUCCUGUACUUGGUGUUACUGCGAAGGGGGGACGGAGAAGGCUAUGUUGGCCGGGCGACGGUUGUCCCGGUUUAAGCGUGUAGGCUGGUUUUCCAGGCAAAUCCGGAAAAUCAAGGCUGAGGCGUGAUGACGAGGCACUACGGUGCUGAAGCGACAAAUGCCCUGCUUCCAGGAAAAGCCUCUAAGCAUCAGGUAACAUCAAAUCGUACCCCAAACCGACACAGGUGGUCAGGUAGAGAAUACCAAGGCGCUUGAGAGAACUCGGGUGAAGGAACUAGGCAAAAUGGUGCCGUAACUUCGGGAGAAGGCACGCUGAUAUGUAGGUGAAGCGACUUGCUCGUGGAGCUGAAAUCAGUCGAAGAUACCAGCUGGCUGCAACUGUUUAUUAAAAACACAGCACUGUGCAAACACGAAAGUGGACGUAUACGGUGUGACGCCUGCCCGGUGCCGGAAGGUUAAUUGAUGGGGUUAGCGGUAACGCGAAGCUCUUGAUCGAAGCCCCGGUAAACGGCGGCCGUAACUAUAACGGUCCUAAGGUAGCGAAAUUCCUUGUCGGGUAAGUUCCGACCUGCACGAAUGGCGUAAUGAUGGCCAGGCUGUCUCCACCCGAGACUCAGUGAAAUUGAACUCGCUGUGAAGAUGCAGUGUACCCGCGGCAAGACGGAAAGACCCCGUGAACCUUUACUAUAGCUUGACACUGAACAUUGAGCCUUGAUGUGUAGGAUAGGUGGGAGGCUUUGAAGUGUGGACGCCAGUCUGCAUGGAGCCGACCUUGAAAUACCACCCUUUAAUGUUUGAUGUUCUAACGUGGGCCCCUUACCGGGGUUGCGGACAGUGUCUGGUGGGUAGUUUGACUGGGGCGGUCUCCUCCUAAAGAGUAACGGAGGAGCACGAAGGUUGGCUAAUCCUGGUCGGACAUCAGGAGGUUAGUGCAAUGGCAUAAGCCAGCUUGACUGCGAGCGUGACGGCGCGAGCAGGUGCGAAAGCAGGUCAUAGUGAUCCGGUGGUUCUGAAUGGAAGGGCCAUCGCUCAACGGAUAAAAGGUACUCCGGGGAUAACAGGCUGAUACCGCCCAAGAGUUCAUAUCGACGGCGGUGUUUGGCACCUCGAUGUCGGCUCAUCACAUCCUGGGGCUGAAGUAGGUCCCAAGGGUAUGGCUGUUCGCCAUUUAAAGUGGUACGCGAGCUGGGUUUAGAACGUCGUGAGACAGUUCGGUCCCUAUCUGCCGUGGGCGCUGGAGAACUGAGGGGGGCUGCUCCUAGUACGAGAGGACCGGAGUGGACGCAUCACUGGUGUUCGGGUUGUCAUGCCAAUGGCACUGCCCGGUAGCUAAAUGCGGAAGAGAUAAGUGCUGAAAGCAUCUAAGCACGAAACUUGCCCCGAGAUGAGUUCUCCCUGAGACUUAGAGUCUCCUGAAGGAACGUUGAAGACGACGACGUUGAUAGGCCGGGUGUGUAAGCGCAGCGAUGCGUUGAGCUAACCGGUACUAAUGAACCGUGAGGCUUAACCUU